rnacentral:tRNA from 1 species
GGAGAUAUAGCUCAGUUGGUAGAGUGCUUGCCUGGCAUGCAUAAGGCCCUGGGUUCAAUCCCAGCACCACCA